rnacentral:rRNA from 1 species
UACGUAGGGUGCGAGCGUUGUCCGGAAUUAUUGGGCGUAAAGGGCUCGUAGGCGGUUUGUCGCGUCGGGAGUGAAAACCCAGGGCUUAACUCUGGGCUUGCUUUCGAUACGGGCAGACUAGAGGUAUGCAGGGGAGAACGGAAUUCCCGGGUGUAGCGGUGAAAUGCGCAGAUAUCAGGAGGAACACCGGUGGCGAAGGCGGGUCUCUGGGCCGAUACUGACGCUGAGGAGCGAAAGCGUGGGGAGCGAACAGG